UAUUAGGUCUUUAGGACCUAAAACUACCCAUUUGAACCCCAUUCUUCUAAUUUCCCUAAACCUAGCCAAAUUCAUUCUCCCAAAUUUCCUAAACAUAAGGAAGAACAAGAUGAACUAGGGUUAAAUUCAAGUCGCCAAUUCACCAUCUUUCUUGGGCUUUUGUCUAGAAAGUUAUGUGUUCAUAUUCAAACAUGGAAUACAUUCUUCCAUGGGGUGCGCAAAGGUUCUAAUUUCUAAAUCUCAAAUUCAUUUUCAUAGGCUUAGCAUGGUGAUGGAUUUGAAGUGGAGGCUCAAAUAGGGUGGUCUCUAGUAUCAACUUCUACUCUCAACUAUCUGCUCUCAUAGGGUUGUCUUAAGUGACCUAGCUAGUGGAUCCACUUUAGCAAAUGAUGAUAUGUACGGAUUCUACCUUGGCAACUAGAUUCCCCAUCUUUCAAUAUGAGGUAUACAACACAGUUUGAUAGUUCAAAUACACCACAUCUACCAAUAUAUCAAGUGCAUCCGAUAUGAAUUCACUAUGGAAAGUUCAAAGGGAAACCUACUUAUCAGCAUGUAAUUAAUCUUUAUUGGUAUCACACAUUUUUUUAAUAUUCUUUUUUCUUAUAAUCAUUCCC